CGUUUGGUUACAAGAAGACGAGAAACACUUUUGUGGGUCGCAGCUUAGACCUUAAUAGUUCCGUGCCUGCUUCAUCUGCAGAGGCAAACAUAAUAGUUACAUCAGAAGAAUUUAUCAAAAAAGCUGUUGAUAGAGCAAUGACUUCCUUUGUCCAGUCGCAGUUGGCUCCAAUGUUGGAGCCAAUCCUAUCGAUGAUUCGGUCUAUGCAUAAAGCACCAAUGCAACUUGAUGUGGCUGAAAAAGUUCACAGGAAUUAAGAUAGUGAAGAGGGAGUUGGAGACACAGGUAGCUAUGGCUGAUUUGAAGAUGGUGGAGCAAUGAAAGGGAGUUUGGAGAAAGUUGUGCAAACUUGUUUGGAGACACAGAGUUUUUUACUUGUUUGAAUGAUUAAAUACAAAAAAACAAAUUAAUAAGUAGUGGUACUGAGUAUUGUUCACAAUUGAAUGAUCAUUGGAUUCAAUUGAAUUGAUUUUUUGUUGGAUGAUCAUUGGAUCCAAUUGAAUGAUUUAAUUUUAGCUUGAUUAAGUUUCUU